GUUCCAGUGUGGUGUAGUGGUUUGAGUGUUGGACUAUGAUUCUGGAGACCAGGGUUCAAAUCCCUGCUGAGUCA